AAAUGUCAUGAACAGAAACCAAUUAAUUUUUGUAGUAACUGUUUCAGCAGUAGCCUCAUUCGCGGGCACCAUGUGGGAUAGCUUCGGGAAACGUCCAGGACCAUAAACAUUGAACAUCAUUAUGGCCCAGAAUGUCUUCUAUCGCUGAUAUUCAAAUCUUCAAUAACUACCAUAAUGAGCCACAUAAAAUGCAAAAUAGAACCAUGAUCCAUCAAAAAUAGUAGUGUUUCCAAGUUGCUCCAAUUUUCUAAAAAUCAACACCAUGCAUCCCUACAAACUAGACUGCAUCAAGCCAACGCGCCUCUGGCAUUUGACUGGCAAGAAGCACUUUUGGGGCAUUCUCAAGGAUCGGUAUGGUGCCGUCAAGCAUACCCAUGAGCCUUUAGAACGCAAAGACGCAUUUACCCUACUAAAUAUCUCCUUGCUUGCAGCUACAGGGUUCUUAUAUUUAUACGGGAGGUUCUCCCCUAAGGCUAAACCCCCGGAGAAAGAGUGCAGCCCAGACAAGCGUCCUGUGGUGCCUUGUCCAAAAAAAUAUCCGUGCAAUAACUAAUAGAUCCUUCAUGACGAAUAAUUCUAGAUAAAA